rnacentral:tRNA from 1 species
GUGGUUGUAGGUCAAUGGUAGAGCACUUGCCUAGCCUGUGUGAGGCACUGGGUUCAAUCCUCAGCACCACA